ensembl:lncRNA
GUUUGGUGCCAUGUGCUCUCUCCUGUCUUAUUGUUUGUCCCUUCCCAUCUUGUCAUCUCACUUUUUCAGUUGCUCCACCUGUGUCUCCCUCGUUACCCUCCUCGUUUAUCUCCCUAUUUAUUCUCCAGGUGUCUGCAGUCAUGUGCUGAUCCGUUGUUAUAUGUCAGAAGUAUGUAUGGUAUGUAACCUGUAUGUGUGGUAUGUAACUGCUGCUCUGCUCUGCUCUGCUCUGCUGUGCCUUGUUCCUGGCCUGCCUGCCUGUUUUUCACCCUUGGGGUACUGAAGCCACUCUGAAGAGAGAUCCUCCUUUUAGUCUUCCUAUAUAGUAAUCAAAGCAGUCUAAAGCAAGGAUUUACUCGCACAUCUUUCAAAAGUCAUGACCAUUAUGAGCUGGAGGCUUUUGGCGCAAAAGCAAGAAGAGGCCAUGAAGGAUCAGGGUUUGGGGUUAAUAGGUUUGGGAGGAACCGAAAACAGAACAUACUGUCUUGGAGUCUAAACUGGCACAGGAAAUCCAAUCUUGGUGUAAAAACUGUAAUGGUCAAAGAUGUCAUUUCUAAAGUGUUAGGCGUUAAUUCAGCUCUAACACUGAAUGCAAACUAUGCUUGUAAAUAGAAACAUUCAUUCUUUUAAUAGCAUUUUCUUAAAGGGGUCAUAUGAUGUUUAAAAAAUACAUUAUUUUCCACAUACUGUACAUUAUUGUUUCUCCUCUAUGCCCCGCCUUUCUGAAACGCAUAGUUUUUUACAAAGCUCAUUGGUCUGAAAAGCGAGGUGUGCUCUGAUUGGCCAGCUAUCAAGUGCUUUGUGAUUGGCCAAAUGCCUCAAGCGUGUUAUGGAAAUGUUACCCUUGCCAUACCAGAGUGGGGUAAAAUUAGCCACUUUUUACUUAUGUGAUCCUCAAGAUAAGGGAAAAUGACGCAAAAGUACAAUGAAAGUAUCUAUCUUAUCCAAAGGAAAGUAUUCCUAUCAUUUUAAAUGAUCAGAAUGUAUCUAUGACAAAGGGCUCUUAAAUAUGGCUUUUUAUAAAAAAAAAAAGUGUUCCCAUGGUUCAGUUUGCCCUGGGUUUGGGGUAAGCUGACCCGAGUCGAGUCAGUGGGUAAGAUGUACCAUUUGGGUGUAAAAUCACCAUCCACCCAUGUGAAAUAAACAAUUUAAAAACUAAUUUAAUAAUUUCCUU